CCCGCUGAACUUAAGCAUAUCAAUAAGCGGAGGAAAAGAAACUAACAAGGAUUCCCUUAGUAACUGCGAGUGAAGAGGGAAGAGCUCAAAUUUAAAAUCUGGCAGUCUUUUGGGCUGUUCGAGUUGUAAUCUAGAGAAGUGUUUUCUGCACUGGACCAUGUACAAGUCUCUUGGAAUGGAGCAUCAUAGAGGGUGACAAUCCUGUCUUUGACAUGGACUCCCAGGGCUUUUUGUGUAGCACUCUCAAAGAGUCGAGUUGUUUGGGAAUGCAGCUCAAAAUGGGUGGUAAAUUCCAUCUAAAGCUAAAUAUUGGCGAGAGACCGAUAGCGAACAAGUACCGUGAGGGAAAGAUGAAAAGAACUUUGAAAAGAGAGUUAAACAGUACGUGAAAUUGUUGAAAGGGAACCGUUUGAAGCCAGUCUUACUUGCUCGUGAUCAGUUUGUGCCUCGGCAUGAAUGCACUCUCGGGUAUGGUAGGCCAACGACAGUUUAGAAUGCGAGAAAAAAAUUUGGGAAAUGUGGCCUUCGGGUGUUAUAGUCCCUUAUGAAAUAUCGUGUUCUGGACUGAGGAUCGCAGUAAAAAUGUGGGCAGGUAGAUUUCUGUGGUGAAUGCUUAUUAGGACAACUUGUUGACCUAGUUUUCAUGAGCCUCACUGUUUGCCUUGCUUCUAAUUUGCUUAGGUCGUUGGCAUAAUGGCUUUAAAUGACCCGUCUUGAAACACGG
rnacentral:rRNA from 1 species